GGAGAGAUGGCUCAAUGGUUAAGAGUACUGGCUGCUCUUCCAGAGGACCCAGGUUCAAUUCCUAGCUCCC
rnacentral:tRNA from 1 species